rnacentral:rRNA from 1 species
UACUAAGGGCGCACGGUGGAUGCCUUGGCAGAAACAGGCGAUGAAGGACGUGGCAAGCUGCGAUAAGCUUCGGGAAGCCGCACACAGGCGUUGAUCCGGAGAUUUCCGAAUGGGGAAACCCACCAUGGUGAUCCCAUGGUAUGUCCUACUGAAUACAUAGGUAGGAACAGGCGAACGGAGGGAAGUGAACCAUCUCAGUACCUCCAGGAGUAGAAAGAAACCUCGAUUCCGAGAGUAGUGGCGAGCGAAAUCGGACAUAGCCCAAACCCGUGAUAUUUCGGUAUCUCGGGGGUUGUAGGGCCUGCACUAGUAGAGUUACCAAUCCAGUCGAUAGCUGAAGACCGUUGGAAAGCGGUCCCAAAGAGCGUGACAGGCGCGUAGGCGAAAUUGAUCUGGACUCGAAGCAGGUACCUGAGUAAGGCGGGGCACGAGAAACCCUGCUUGAAUCCACGGGGACCAUCCCGUAAGGCUAAAUACUCGUUUCUGACCGAUAGUGAACCAGUACCGUGAGGGAAAGGCGAAAAGAACCCCGGAAGGGGAGUGAAAUAGUACCUGAAACCGUGUGCCUACAAGCAGUGGGAGGACUAUGCCCGUAAGGGAAUGUCUGACCGCGUGCCUAUUGCAUAAUGAGCCGGCUAGUUAUUCUUGUCAGCAAGGUUAAGCGUGAGCGAGCCGCAGCGAAAGCGAGUCUGAAUAGGGCGUUAAGUUGGCAGGAAUAGACGCGAAGCGGGAUGAUCUACCCUUGGCCAGGUUGAAGAUGGGGUAACACCCAUUGGAGGACCGAACCGGUGUUUGUUGAAAAAAGCUCGGAUGAGCUGAGGGUAGGGGUGAAAGGCUAAUCAAAUUCCGUGAUAGCUCGUUCUCUCCGAAAUAGCUUUAGGGCUAGCGUCGGGUGAUUUGGAUCGGUGGUAGAGACAUGGAUAGACUAGGGGGCUUUCCGGCUUACUGAAUCUAACCAAACUUCGAAUGCCGAUCACAACCAGCCCGGCAGUCAGACUGUGGGGGCUAAGCUUCACAGUCGAGAGGAAAACAGUCCAGACCGCCUGCUAAGGUCCCCAAAUUACAGUUAAGUGGGAAAGGAAGUCGGAACGCUCAGACAGCCAGGAGGUUGGCUUAGAAGCAGCCAUCCUUUAAAGAAAGCGUAACAGCUCACUGGUCUAAAUAAGGGUUCCUGCGGCGAAGAUGUAACGGGGCUAAAGAUAUGCACCGAAGCUUAGGGUUCAGAAUUUAUUCUGAGCGGUAGCGGAGCGUUCCGUAAGCGAGCGAAGGAGAAGGGUAACCGACUCUGGACGUAUCGGAAGUGCGAAUGCUGACAUGAGUAGCGACAAAGAGGGUGAGAUGCCCUCUCGCCGAAAGACCAAGGGUUCCUGCGCAACGCUAAUCGGCGCA